UUUAUAUGAGAGUUUGAUCCUGGCUCAGGAUGAACGCCGGCGGUGUGCCUAAUACAUGCAAGUCGUACGCACUGGCCCAACUGAUUGAUGGUGCUUGCACCUGAUUGACGAUGGAUCACCAGUGAGUGGCGGACGGGUGAGUAACACGUAGGUAACCUGCCCCGGAGCGGGGGAUAACAUUUGGAAACAGAUGCUAAUACCGCAUAACAACAAAAGCCACAUGGCUUUUGUUUGAAAGAUGGCUUUGGCUAUCACUCUGGGAUGGACCUGCGGUGCAUUAGCUAGUUGGUAAGGUAACGGCUUACCAAGGCGAUGAUGCAUAGCCGAGUUGAGAG
rnacentral:rRNA from 2 species